GCAGUGGUGGUUCAGUGAUAGAAUUCUUGCCUUUCAUGCAGGAGACCCAGGUUCGAUUCCUGACAAGUGGA
rnacentral:tRNA from 1 species